rnacentral:rRNA from 1 species
GAUGAACGCUGGCGGCGUGCCUAAUACAUGCAAGUCGAGCGAACAGACGAGGAGCUUGCUCCUCUGACGUUAGCGGCGGACGGGUGAGUAACACGUGGAUAACCUACCUAUAAGACUGGGAUAACUUCGGGAAACCGGAGCUAAUACCGGAUAAUAUAUUGAACCGCAUGGUUCAAUAGUGAAAGACGGUUUUGCUGUCACUUAUAGAUGGAUCCGCGCCGCAUUAGCUAGUUGGUAAGGUAACGGCUUGCCAAGGCAACGAUGCGUAGCCGACCUGAGAGGGUGAUCGGCCACACUGGAACUGAGACACGGUCCAGACUCCUACGGGAGGCAGCAGUAGGGAAUCUUCCGCAAUGGGCGAAAGCCUGACGGAGCAACGCCGCGUGAGUGAUGAAGGUCUUCGGAUCGUAAAACUCUGUUAUUAGGGAAGAACAAAUGUGUAAGUAACGAUGCACGUCUUGACGGUACCUAAUCAGAAAGCCACGGCUAACUACGU